rnacentral:rRNA from 1 species
CCUACGGGUGGCAGCAGUGGGGAAUAUUGGGCAAUGGGCGCAAGCCUGACCCAGCAACGCCGCGUGAAGGAAGAAGGCUUUCGGGUUGUAAACUUCUUUUCUCAGGGACGAAGCAAGUGACGGUACCUGAGGAAUAAGCCACGGCUAACUACGUGCCAGCAGCCGCGGUAAUACGUAGGUGGCAAGCGUUAUCCGGAUUUACUGGGUGUAAGGGGCGUGUAGGCGGGGACGCAAGUCAGAUGUGAAAACCACGGGCUCAACCUGUGGCCUGCAUUUGAAACUGUGUUUCUUGAGUGCUGGAGAGGCAGACGGAAUGCCUGGUGUAGCGGUGAAAUGCGUAGAUAUUAGGAGGAACACCAGUGGCGAAGGCGGUCUGCUGGACAGCAACUGACGCUGAGGCGCGAAAGCGUGGGGAGCAAACAGGAUUAGAUACCCCAGUAGUC